AAAAGAUUAGUUAAUUUAUAACAUUAGUAUGUCAUACUAAAAUUAUUGAACAUCAAUAUCUUUUG
rnacentral:tRNA from 1 species